AGAGUUUGAUCCUGGCUCAGAUUGAACGCUGGCGGCAUGCCUAACACAUGCAAGUCGAACGGUAGCAGGCCUUCGGGUGCUGACGAGUGGCGGACGGGUGAGUAAUGCGUAGGAAUCUGUCUUUUAGUGGGGGACAACCCAGGGAACUUGGGCUAAUACCGCAUAAGCUCUGAGGAGGAAAGCGGGGGACCGAAAGGCCUCGCGCUGAAGGAGCGGCCGAUGUCCGAUUAGCUAGUUGGUGAGGUAAAGGCUUACCAAGGCGACGAUCGGUAGCUAGUCUGAGAGGAUGAUCAGCCACACUGGGACUGAGACACGGCCCAGACUCCUACGGGAGGCGAC
rnacentral:rRNA from 1 species